GAACAGUCACUGAAGGCAUUUAAGUAAGUUGCAUGAGAAAAUAACAGAUUCCCAUGGCUCUUAAUCUUGCUACAUUGCCAUGAUGGUUAAUAUUGAGUAUCAACUUGAUGGAAUUGAAGGAUGCAAAGUGUUGUUCCUGGGUGUGCCUGUGAGAUUGUUGCCAAAGGAGAUUAACAUUUGACUCGGUGGAUUGGGAAAGGCAGACCCACCCUCAAUCUUGAGUGGGCAUAAUCUAAUUGGCUGCUAGUGUGGCCAGAAUAAAAGUAGCAGAAGAAUGUGAAAAGACUAGACUGGCUUAGUCUUCCAGCCUACAUCUUUCUCCCGUGCUGGGUGCUUCCUGCCCUCAAACAUUGGACUCCAAGUUCUUCAGUUUGGGGAAUUGAACUAGCUUCCUUCCUCCUCAGCUUGCAGACAGCCUACUGUGGGACCUCACCUCAUGAUCAUGUGCUCAUGGCCUGCUGAAGACUGAUGUUGGAACAGAAGAGCUGAGAAACACACCUGCCCCUACCUCAAGCCCUGCACCAAGUAAAAGUCAGCAGCAAUAUACCCUGGGGAAAGGGCUAGAGUGUGGCUGGAGAUCUUGCUGAAAGCUGGAGGUGGAGGAGGAAUACAAAGAUAAGAUUUUAGGACUCCAGGCUUCACAACUCCUUCUACAUCUGUUGUUCAAGGUUCAGACUCAAUAUGCAACUAAUUUAUGAAGCCCGUUUAGACCACAACAACCCUGAUGCAAGAUGUUCUCCACUAUGUUAAGAUGCAGCAUGAAGCCCUUACCAGAAGCUAAGAGUAUUCCGUUAGAGCAACACAAAACAGACUAAGACAACUUGUUCAUUACUGAUGUACAGAUUUCACUGACCAGCAACACUCCAGUGAAACUGCAGUCAAAAUUUAUGGAGUCUGCAGUAAAUAUGAAGCUAAAGUAACAGGCAAUGAAGAGCUCACCUGCUGCCUCCAGGGCUGCUUAACAUGCUGCAACCAGGCUGAAUGGUGCAUAUUGGACUGGAACCUGGAUCCUUGAGUAAAUGAAAGGAGAAAAGCCCCUAUCCAGUAUAUCAGAUUUGUGUAAACCAAAAAAUAAACUUUCAAUAUGGUAACUAAACUGGAAUAACGCAUAUGACGGGGGAGAGUUCCCUGACCCUCUUGCGAGUCUUGCCACAGGGAGGGUGUGGAGGGUUGGUGGUAGCUUGUUUUGCUUUGUUGCUGAACUCAAGCCCCUUGCAGGAGUGGGAGCAUGCAGCUGAAUUAAGCUGACCUGUGUAACUCACAAGACAUUGCAGGAAUGACGGUGUGUGUGCUCAGGCUGAACAUAAAAGACUCUGAGACUUCUGCCUUGCCCUCUUGUAGCACUCUCCAGGAAAAGCUGCCUGCUAGAUAACAUGAAGACACGCCAGCAGCCUCAUGGGGGUGGAGGGAAGAGAGGCCUCAUGGUGAGGGACUGAGGCCUCCUACUAAAAGCCAGCACUAACUUGUCAGGCAUGAAAGUGAGCCACCUGGAAGCACAUCUUCAGCCCCUGUGGACCCUUUAGAUGACUGCAGGCCCUGCUGACAUCUUGACUGAAACCUCAUGAGACAGCUAGAACCAGAAUCGCCCAGAGAGAAGAACAUCAAAGGUGCGGGUUUAGGGCCCAGAAAGCCACUGGCCCCUUAAUAUCCAGAAAAGGACAAAAACUCACGGGAGUCAAGCACUGUUUGCCUGGAAGAAGAAAGAUAAAGACACAGACAAGCCCUGCUCCCCCACCAGCCAAAACUACUAUUCUACCUGUUUCCUGAUUCUGACCCACGUAUAUUCACUUGUUUCAUCAUUUUCUCAUUCAAAAAUAUAUUCAUUCAAUUAAUAAUGAUUUACUGAGUGUGUAUUAUGUAGCCAGUGCUUGCAUGGAACUCAGAUUACAGCUGGAAAUGAAACAGAUCUGGUCUUACACCCUCUGUACAUCUUCUUCCUCCUGUUACCACUCUAUCCUGUCUUCAACCUCAACUUCACUACUAAUUUCAUACUUAA
rnacentral:lncRNA from 10 species